rnacentral:lncRNA from 1 species
CUGCUGUGGAAAUGUGUACACACUCAGUGAUUAAACUCUUAUUCAUACGUAUCUUCAGAGUCAACAGUGAACUGCUGCUACCUCCUUGGAUUGGAAGAAGUCUGUAGCAGAAAUAUCGUGAUAGUAUCAUACACCAUGUUUGCGCAACAGCACAUUGUUGAGGAGGUGGAAGAGCCACAGGCUGAUGAGCAGUGUUUCCUGUCUCAGAGGAAUGCUUUCUAG